GAUUCCGGAGAGGGAGCCUGAGAGAUGGCUCCCACGUCCAAGGAUGGCAGCAGGCGCGAAAAUUGUCCACUCUUUUGAGAGGAGACAGUUAUGAAACGUGAGUAGAAGGGUCGAGUGUAAAAACCUUGACGUGAAGCAAUUGGAGGGCAAGUUUUGGUGCCAGCAGCCGCGGUAAUUCCAACUCCAAGAGUGUCUAUGGUGGAUGCUGCAGUUAAAGGGUCCGUAGUCGUAGAUGCAAUUAAAAGGUGGUGUUAAAAGCCAUUGAGUUUGUUGAGAGUAGCGGAACGGAUAGGGAGCAUGGUAUAGGUGGGCAAAGAAUGAAAUCUCAAGACCCCACCUGGACCAACGGAGGCGAAAGCGAUGCUCUUAGACGUAUCUGGGGAUCAAGGACGAAGGCUAGAGUAUCGAAAGUGAUUAGACACCGCUGUAGUUCUAGCAGUAAACUAUGCCGACAAUGCUGGGUGUUGCGAGAGCGAUGCUUGGUGUGGGAGAAAUCUUAGUUUUCGGGCUCUGGGGAUAGUACGCUCGCAAGGGUGAAACUUAAAGCGAAAUUGACGGAAGGACACUACCAGGAGUGGAUUGUGCUGCUUAAUUUAACUCAACGCGGGAAAACUUACCAGGGUCAAGUCUAUCGUAGAUUGGAGACAUGAGGUAGACAAGAGUGGUGCAUGGCCGUUGGAAAUUGAUGGGGCGACUUUUAGCUUAAGUGCUGGAACCAGUGAGAUCUUCUAGACAGGUGUUAUUUAGGCACAGGAGGGAGAAGGCAAUAACAGGUCCGUGAUGCCCUUAGAUAUCCUGGGCAGCAAGCGCAAUACAAUAUCUCUUGAGAAGACAAAGCAAUUUGAGAUGAGUAGGAUUAGCUUUUGUAAAUAAGCUAUGAAUGAGGAAUUCCUAGUAACAGUGUCUCAUCAAGGCAUUGUGAAUGUGUCCCUGUUCUUUGUACACA
rnacentral:rRNA from 1 species